CCUACGGGGGGCAGCAGUAGGGAAUAUUGCUCAAUGGGGGAAACCCUGAAGCAGCAACGCCGCGUGGAGGAUGAAGGUUUUAGGAUUGGAAACUCCUUUUGUUAGAGAAGAUUCUGACGGUAUGUAACGAAUAAGCACGGGUUAAAUCCGUGCCAGCAGCCGCGGUAAUACGGCGGGUGCAAGCGUUACUCGGAAUUAAUGGGCGUAAAGAGUGCGUAGGCGGGUUAAUAAGUCAGAUGUGAAAUCCUGUAGCUUAACUACAGAACUGCAUUUGAAACUGUUACUCUGGAGUGUGGGAGAGGUAGGUGGAAUUCUUGGUGUAGGGGUAAAAUCCGUAGAGAUCAAGAGGAAUACUCAUUGCGAAGGCGACCUGCUGGAACAUUACUGACGCUGAUGCACGAAAGCGUGGGGAGCGAACAGGAUUAGAUACCCGUGUAGUC
rnacentral:rRNA from 1 species